rnacentral:rRNA from 1 species
AUUGAACGCUGGCGGCAGGCCUAACACAUGCAAGUCGAGCGGAGCGGCGGACGGGUGAGUAAUGCCUAGGAAUCUGCCUGGUAGUGGGGGAUAACGUCCGGAAACGGGCGCUAAUACCGCAUACUAUCAGAAGAGCCUAGGUCGGCUUAGCUAGUUUGUGGGGGAAAGGCCUACCAAGGCGCCGAUCCGUAACUGGUCUGAGAGUAUGAUCAGUCACACUGGAACUGAGACACGGGCCAGACGCCUACGGAAGGCAGCAGUGGGGAAUAUUGGACAAUGGGCGAAAGCCUGAGCCAGCCAUGCCGCGUGUGUGAAGAAGGUCUUCGGAUUGUAAAGCACCAUAAGUUGGGAGGCGUGACCAACAGAAAAAGCGCCGGCUGACUGUGUGCCAGCAGCCGCGGUAAUAC